rnacentral:rRNA from 1 species
UACAGAGGUCUCAAGCGUUGUUCGGAUUCAUUGGGCGUAAAGGGUGUGUAGGUGGCGCGCUAAGUCGGGUGUGAAAUUUCGGAGCUUAACUCCGAAACUGCAUUCGAUACUGGCGUGCUUGAGGACUGGAGAGGAGACUGGAAUUCAUGGUGUAGCAGUGAAAUGCGUAGAGAUCAUGAGGAAGACCAGUGGCGAAGGCGGGUCUCUGGACAGUUCCUGACACUGAGACACGAAGGCCAGGGGAGCCAAACGGG